CUCUCUAUCUAUUUUCAGUUUCCCGUAGACAUAUGGUUCCCCUCUUCCUCUCUAUCAUCCAGAUCUGAAUUUAUACAAUCAUGGACACACUAUAAAGACCCUUCUGAUACAAUGGCAGACUUCAAGGAAAAGCAAUGGUGUAGGGUUUUUAAGCAAAUAUGUUAUUUUCAUCUCUAUUUUGUCAAUUGCUUUUUUCUUGCAUUUUCAUCAAUUUAACAAUCAUAAGAUAAACUUUUUGAAAUUGUAGGCUUCUACUUUAGUGGAUUAGAGUGAAUAGGCAUCUCAGUUGGAGUAGAGAAAGGGGUCUUACUGGAAGGCAAAAUGAAAACGGCCCGUCAAAAUUUCAGAUCUAAGAUUUCAGGUAGUCUCCAACAUAUUUUUAUACUAGAAUUCUUCCUUCCACGAUUUGAUUUUUUCCCUAUUUUGUCCUAUUGUUCAAUCUCCUCUCUUUACCACUCUCGCUCCCAUUCCUCCAUACCUCUCGUUGCCCAGCCCUAAUUGUCCCCUUUCGUUGUCCCAAACCCCUAGUAACUUACACAAUUUUUGAAUACUAAACACUGAUUAUGACAUGUUCUAAAUUUCAAGCUUUAUUUGUUAGGUGACUUAACUGAAAUUUUGGAUGAUUUUCCACUCCGGUUGGUGAUUAGGAUUGAUGGUGUAGGUGAUUUUGCUUGUCUUUGGACUGGUUUGUGGUGUUUCAUCAUUAUCUAUUGUUUUGUGUUUCGGUGUUGUAGGACCAUUCGUGAAGCGUAUUUUUUCCCUUCCUUUGGGCUAAUUCUAAUGCUUUCAUUGUGCUGCAUGUGAUUCUCUUAGGUGAUAACUUCUUCUCCUCCUGAAUAUUUGUGCCAGUUUUGAUGCCUUUGGUCUUUUUGCUUUUUGAUGAUUUAAUUUUUUGUUUAAUUCUUAACUAAAGAUCUAGUAAAUAGAAUAUAGUUUUAUUUUAAGUGAACAUACUGGACAAAAAUAAUAAGGAUUAGAAGAAAAGGAUCUCAUUGGCUAUUUGCACCUUGGAAGCCUUGUUGGCAGUAAAAUCUAAUUCCUUUUUCAAAGUCCAUUUCAUGCUUUCCUUGUGCUUUUAUGUUAAACUGUGCAACAUAUAGAAUUACACUGAAAUUUGAAUAGAGCAAUUAAGGUUGAAAAUGAACAAGAUACAAACUUUGUAUUUCAAAAUGCUCAUGCCAAGCUUCUAUUGAGUGAAUUUUCUAGACAACUCUUUUAGUGUAUUUGUUGCACUUUAUACCUUAUAAUUAUUGAGACUUUUUACCUCAACCUGCAUUAUGUAUACUUGAAAACAUAUUUGAUUACUUUUGAAUCUGUUUGUACCUUAAGAGUUAAGGCUUCUUAAAGUGUAUAUGAAAAGUGGUCCAAAUGUUAUGCUUGCUUAGCUACUUCUCAAUUUUAAACGAGUUGCAAUGGGUGAAUGCAUUUACUAUUUUUGUGUUAAAGGAAACAGCCUUGGCGUUACUUUACAAUUGGUUUCAUGUCAAUUGGGGUCAUAAUGAUUUCUUCAUCUUAAGUACAUGCUACCAACUUGUCGUUUGAAAUUCAGUUCAUAUUUUGUACUUGUGUGGUUAAUAAAAGUGAUCCUUAGCAUUUCUUUUUAAGUCCCUCAUUUUCAUUUCUUUUCAUGCAACAAUAUGAGGAUCAAUGUCUUAGUUGAUAUAUGUAGGCUAAUGUAGGUUUAAUUUAUCUAACUACCAAUGUAAAUUUUUGUUUAAUAAUUUUUUUCCAUUGGACUCUGUAGGUUGAUGGUGGAUUGUAGUAAACCUGGCUAUGAAGCUCUUACAAGCUACUUUGAUUAUAGACUUCGCCAAUUAAUGCAAACAUGGUACUCAUUGUAUAUCGGCACAGGGUCUAUCUUAGCAUUUGUUAUCCCUGGC
rnacentral:lncRNA from 1 species